AUGGGUAGAAAAAAUCCGUUUCUACUCGAAAAAUAUAAAAAGACCGGAUCGCCAUCAAGCUACCCCAGCAGCUCAUUGCGACUGAUAGCCCCUGCUCCGUCUCCAUCUCGAAGUAUCACUCCAGUAAAACCAACCACGAGCAUAAGUAAACGAGCUACAUGGAGUAUUACCUGUCUUCGGCCUUUACCUCCUCACAACCCGCUUUCGUCCCGUGAUGAAAAGUCUCCCAGAAGCCCUAAAAAAUUGGUCGAUUCGUCUUAUGAAGAGGAUGCACAAAUUCUCCGAGUAAUAGAAGAAUAUUGCACUUGCACUAAAACCCGCCAAAAUAUCAACUCUGUUGGUUGUGGACCAGUGAAUGAUAGCUUGUCUUCCAGUGUGAGGUGACUAACCAUUUAUUAGUUGAUCUCGGUAGCCUGUACGCUUCUGCUGCCUCCCCAUGUCGCAAUCGGUACAAUCACAAACCAACCCGCAGAGCCUCAGCCUGGUGCUGUGGUAGCCAUCUCCUUCUUCGCACUCUGGCCAAACAACAUCUUGAAUAGGAGAACGGAAUCCAAAUACUUAGCUCAAGCUUUUUUCCUGACAAGACAAAAUUUUCCGAAAAGCGCAUUUCCUGUGACUUAGAAGGUUCCUGCAAGCUUGUAGUUUGCUGAUAAAUUGAUACUCCCUCAAAUAAUACAGGAACAGACAUGCGUCGGCGCUUAGUUUGCAAAAACUUUUAGAAAACGGAAUAUGUAUUCCUUAUGCUGAACAAAUUAUCGUAAACUCCAGUUUGUGAACAUCGAGUAUGUUACUGAUUUAAUAGAUCAAGUUUAUCAACAGUAAGUCCAAUAAUUUUUAAAAUUAUUAAAACGAAAAUAUUGAAUUCAACUCGCCUAACUUUUUUGAAUAAUCAGAUGCAUAAUUACUGUGAUGCAUGACUUAAGGACUGAAACGUGUCUUGAUUUUGUAUACAAAUGAAGCAAAUUGUGUUGAUGAAUGUCCAAACUAGAUGUUUUACUUUAUAAAAUUGGUGCUUAAAACAGUCGUACAAAUGAAACCAAAUUAUAAACAAUCUAAUAAACACAGGUAUCAAAAUGCAAACAAAACACUCAAAGAAGUUUACCAUUUGCUCUUCAUUGGCAUUCACUCUAGCAGCUGUUGUCAGACUUGCAAACUUAUUCAAAAUCAAUUCUUUGAAUUGCUCGAAUAGGUUUUCGGGAAAAUGUUGCCACUUCCCUUUUAACCUAACUCUCAAGGUUUUAAGGCAGAGGCUGAGAUAGGUUGUCUCUGGACAAAUGAUCAAGGUUAUUUGAUCUUUUUUAGUCAUUAAAUAGUUCUCUGCCUUUAUACUUUCCUUUGCCAAGAGAGCAAGUAUUACUUCUGCCAUAGGAAAAUUAAUUUCAGUGCCAUGAUAACCUUUAAGUCUUUACCAAAAGCAGGGCUAACAAUUUUUUCAAAUUUAAAAUCCUCAAAUUUGGCCAAUGUUUACUCAUUCCACGAUGUUCCUAAUUUAAAAUUGAUAUGAAAGCGAUAAAUUAACAAUACAAGAGCAUCUUAACCAAACUUUUCCCUGUUUCCACUAAGAAGUAAGAACCUGUCCUAUGAAUGUGAAAUUAUAAAUUUACAACCCCAGGGAAUAAGUUUAAAGCUUUAUUUUGAAUUGCUUAAUAUUACUGAUUUUCGCACAGUUUAUCCAAAAUUUAUUAUCCAGCAAAUACGUUAAUCAAAAGCAUGUCAAUAAUUGUGCAAUCUAAUACAAAUGUGGCAAGGUAGGAUCUUGAAAAUGGAAGAACUAGGACAACUCAAGGAAAAAGUCUCGGAAGAUAAGACAUGGUAUGGGGAGUCUUAGUCCUGCAACUCAGAUUAAUGUUAUUUCUGACCAAUGCUGGGGCUCUAGUGAAUGUUGUCUUUGUUCUAUUUUAUCAUGUGCCAUUGAGUAACUUUAUUUGGAGUUUUUUAAUUCCUCUAACCACAAUAAUUUCUCUUUCACUUCUGCCUCAUAAUUUAAAGUGAAAGGGUUUAAUGUCUUAUCCUUAAGUAUCAGUAUUAUUGUAUGUAUUCACCUGUUACGUAGUUCUGAUGUAUUUAUUUUUUAAUUUGUAUUUUUUACAAAAAAAUGUUGCUUUUUAUAUGAGAGAGACAAAUAAUUAAUACAGUAAGUUUUUUAUUUUAUUCUUUUUUUCACUUCUUAUCCCUAACUCAAGUGCCUCCAUGAAUGUUAGUCCCAGGUAUUUCUCUUUGUCUCUCUAUAACACUCUAAUCACGGCUUUGUCGAAGGAAAGUUAGAUGAAAAGUGAAUGUAGCAUUUUGAUCUCAUCGGAUUCUCUAAUUAGAAUAGAAAUACUAUGUUUUUGGUCAGAAAUGGAAGUGUGUUUCUGACCUCCCUAAGAAUUAAUCAACUUGUAGGUUUUUUCUCAUGAAAAUCAUGAGGUUAGUGA
rnacentral:lncRNA from 1 species